rnacentral:rRNA from 1 species
AGUGAACGCUGGCGGUAGGCCUAACACAUGCAAGUCGAACGGCAGCACAGUAAGAGCUUGCUCUUACGGGUGGCGAGUGGCGGACGGGUGAGGAAUACAUCGGAAUCUACUUUUUCGUGGGGGAUAACGUAGGGAAACUUACGCUAAUACCGCAUACGACCUACGGGUGAAAGCAGGGGAUCUUCGGACCUUGCGCGAUUGAAUGAGCCGGUGUCGUAUUAGCUAGUUGGCGGGGUAAAGGCCCACCAAGGCGACGAUCCGUAGCUGGUCUGAGAGGAUGAUCAGCCACACUGGAACUGAGACACGGUCCAGACUCCUACGGGAGGCAGCAGUGGGGAAUAUUGGACAAUGGGCGCAAGCCUGAUCCAGCCAUACCGCGUGGAUGAAGAAGGCCUUCGGGUUGUAAAGCCCUUUUGUUGGGAAAGAAAAGCAGCAGGUUAAUACCCCGCUGUUCUGACGGUACCCAAAGAAUAAGCACCGGCUAACUUCGUG